ACGGGGAGCAGCCCAGAGCCUGAAUCAGUAUGUGUGUUAGUGGAAGCGUCUGGAAAGGCGCGCGAUACAGGGUGACAGCCCCGUACACAAAAAUGCACAUGCUGUGAGCUCGAUGAGUAGGGCGGGACACGUGGUAUCCUGUCUGAAUAUGGGGGGACCAUCCUCCAAGGCUAAAUACUCCUGACUGACCGAUAGUGAACCAGUACCGUGAGGGAAAGGCGAAAAGAACCCCGGCGAGGGGAGUGAAAAAGAACCUGAAACCGUGU
rnacentral:rRNA from 1 species